CAUUGGAGGUUAGUUUUCACUUUUGCAGAGAACUCCUGGUUUGAUGCUCUUGGCAGACCGCAGCACCACGUCCCUGCAGCCUCCGUUCAGAUCGAGCAGGGUCUGCUGCCUGGAGCACUGCUUCUAAGGACAUCGAGCACGAACAGUGUAACACAUUAAUCCUAACACUGACAUUGCUCAGCUUCAAACGGCGAUAAAAUCAGAGGUUAAUUUGUGCUGCGUACAAACAGAAGCAGUUCUGUCUGUCAUCAUGCUGGGAUUGAGGAGUUUCAGAAUACAGCCUUCAGAUUCUAUUUUUAACUUUGGGUAUGAAAGGAGGCAACAGCAGCAAAAAGGCUUUUAACUUCUACUGAAAGCUAUCUAAAAACUUGUCAUGAAGGAUGAAACUAUGGUUCUUUUUGUUGUGAACACUAUUCUGCAUCAGUGAUGCCGCCACUUCUCACCUGUGAAAAUCUGGGACAAAUACCAAGACAGUGUCGUGUAACCACAAGUUUUGUCAACUCAACUGUUAAUGCAGCACUCACAGUUCUACUUCAUUAAGAGCUCCAUUGAAGAAUUACGGCAGCAGAUAUGUAAAUGUAUUUUCCAGGUUGUGGCAUUGUCAUUUCAGAUAUCUUAAGCUAAAGUUAUAAACUCAAAUGCUGAAAAACUUUAAAUUAGCACAAUCCUAUAUAAUGAAUGGUACCAUUGAGUGCUAAACCCCGGGCACUUGAGAAGCAUAGUAAAGCAUGGACACAGUGAAAUGUAUUCAAAAGAAGGAAAUGUUGAAGCUUAGAAUCCAGUAAAUGAAAAGGAGCUGAAUUCUGGGAAGUUCUGUUGUCUUUUCUUUUUUUUAAAUGGGCGCUUUCUGCUGCUCUUGUAAAAAAAUAAAAACCGCAGAUCAGUCAAAUUCAGAAAUAGAAUGAUGUAACAUCUAACUGAGCUGAAAUUUACAUUCAGUUGCUAUCACGAAGAAUAGUUCCAGAGAAAAUACUGCCCAGGAGAUGGAAUCCCAUACACUGGGAAAAACCUUCUGUGUUUUGAUACCGCAGUGAGACUCCAGGUGAAGCACUACCACAGAGCGCGGGGCCGCUUACUGCUGACACUGCAGCUGCUCUUGAGAAGAAUACAAGCAUUUGGAAUCUUCUGUGGAACUUCAGUCUGCUUUAUCAGUUGAAUCCAGGCUUUAAAAUAAAUCAAUAAUCACACAACAGUGGUGCUGGUGACCAACAGAGCUCGUCCUUCAAGCACUGAACUGAGGCAAACAGUGCAGCUGUAGUCAGCGUAUCUGGGACGCCAAGGAAACAGUGCUUGCAGCUGUAACAGCCAACUCUAACUCCAAGUUCUGUGGUGAAUUACAGUAGCACUGCUUAGAACGCUAUUGUUUCUCCUAUUGAAGGAAAGCACUUAUCAAUCAAGAAGAAUGGAAAUUGAGUUAGAAUGGGGAAUGCUAGCCAGAACUGAUGGAGCACAAGGCAAAGUUCACUUAACAUAAUAGUAAAGUUUAGAAUUUAGCAUCUUACUUUAGAGAACAAAGGUGUGUUUCAAUUUCUCCCUUAAAAUGCAAAGCAUUUCUCCCAGGCGAGGGGAAUGUGGACAAGAGAUUUUCCGAGUAUUUCACCAGUCUGCUCCAGGAGCUGAACAUACACUGCACAGAGCUAAGUAGCACAAGGAGAAGCAAUGGCACGUAGCGUGAAGCUGCUAACACUACGGAUGUGCUUGAAGGAGAAACUGCCUUAGAACAUUUAGAAUGUUUGCUGUACGAGCUACGUUUCUAAUGAGUCAACUUCCAGGAUAUUCCUGUCAGUGUUUUUCUAUCUUUGGUCUUUUAUUCUAACCCACUUCUUGAACUUAGCGUCAGAACUAGUGCUAAUGCUGAGCUGCCGCUACUAAGGCUCAGGUGCUUCUGUUGUGCAGCUCCAGUGCUACGUGGUUAGCUAACAAAUACACGGGAGAAGAGAAAGUAUCAAAUUCUCACCUUCACUCUCUGCCUUCCAAGAGAAGCGAGAUAAGAUAGGUGAGAACUCAAGGAAGACAAGUAAGUAACAAACACGAACACACAAGCCUGCAAUGCCACUGCCAUCCAAAGAUGAAGAACAACUUAGAAUUGGCCUGUUACACAACAUUCGGUUGUUUGCACAAAACUACUGUUCUGCAUUCUGGAAAUCAUUUAAAAGUAGCCUUUGUCAAGCUGUCCACACAUCUGUCUAAUUUUAGAAGCUUUCUUAAGGACAUUCUUGUACUUAAUACAAGAAUACAAAUUGAGUGCAAGCCUAGUGUCAACUUAGGAAUCCAAGUCAGUUAUUGCAAAUCCAGCCUAUGAUGUUUGACUGUUUUAAGAUUCCUGGUAUGUUCUAACUAAAAUUUAAUCAACCACUCUCAAUUACACUGGAAAAGUGCAUUUUGCAUCUUCUUUCCGUACUUUCCUAUUUUUCUGGAAAAAAAAUUAAUAAACACUGGUUAUAAUGCUGCAUUGGAAUUUGUAAAAUAAAAAUUUGAAACAGAAACUUUGAAAUUGCAUGUACAGAAGUAUUAUUGUGUCUUAUGCAGCUCUAUAUUCACUUCAGUAUAAAGCUAAUAUUUUCACAGGGAAAGUGAUUCCGUACUUUCUGAAUCCAAUGUAAAGCUUCUACUUUUACAAAAUAUUUUAUUCAAAUAAUACUGCUAUUUGAUUAUACCAUUACACUGGUUUUAAUUCUUCCUACCACUUCAGCUCAGCUGUCCUUGAAGUUUCUAGAACAGACCUCUCUUGGCUAAUUUUGGCAGCAUUGAUCUCCAUUUAUAAUCCCAGUAGAGCUUUUUAGCUUGCGCUCUACUUGGAUGCUUUAGCUCAGAUGUUGGUGUGCCAACAGUUGGGAACUUCUGGCUUAUCUCAAAGCAAGAAGAAAAUCUGCUCCCCCUCAUUUCCUCUCCAAUACACUGGAAGAGUGACUCCAAAUUAUUUCCACAAAGCAACAGGUGAAAAACUUGACUAAAGUUUCCGCUGGCAGCACAAUCCUCCAUAGGACAAGACUUAUCUGUACAUUAAAAAAUGCUGUUCCAAUCAGUUGAAAAAAAAUGCAUACGUAUAAAAUCACUGUAGCUGUUCAUAAUUGCUUAAGAUUACAUGAGAAAUUUCUAAUUGUCUAUCAAAUACAUUGAAGUGGCACUAAUUAGCACAAGAAUUACUUUGAACAGUUUGAAAUAUUAGGUUCUAGAAUAGGUUGAUUUCAAGUCACAGAAGUCUGCUUCCAUUUAGUAUAACACAAAUUCAAGUUUUCUAAUUCUUAGUAUUGUUCCUGCAAUAUUCAUCUCUACGGGCAUUGCUUACAAAACUCCAUUUCUGUUUACAAAGUUGAUAUUAACUAUACUCCUCUUACCUUGACAGAUAACAAAGCCAAUCUCAGCAGGUGCUAGCAGUUGCUGUCAGGUUUCUUUUGCUCCCCAGACCGCCUGCCCCGUGGGUGUCCUUAACUGGCAUCCCCUCAAGCUCUCCCCAUUUAUUUAACAAUUCCUUAGAGACAUCCAGCCAUGAGAGAGGGGCUGGGAUUUCUUUGUGGCCUCGAGGUUGACCUCUUCAGAGGAGUCACUAUCGAGCAACAGCAAGCACACUUACCUUCCGAGCUUUGCCCAACCUGGCUGGGCAAACCUACCCAAGUUUUCUGUGCAUACAGACAUUGAUAUUCCAAGUAUUAAAAAGAAAAAGCUAAAUUAAUAUUAAUUUUAUUUGUUCUUCUUUACAGGUACACAGGUUACUGAAGCUUGAGUAUGAAGCAUGGAAGGCAGGAACCAAUAGCAGCAAGAUGACAUAUUAGCACACUACUCAGCAUACUUAAAAAAAAAAA